CGUUUGCUUCACUAGAGGAUUGGGGUGCGUAACAUUAGCUAGUUGGUAGGGUAAUGGCUUACCAAGGCGAUGAUGUUUAGCGGGGUUGAGAGACUGAUCCGCCACACUGGGACUGAGAUACGGCCCAGACUCCUACGGGAGGCAGCAGUAGGGAAUUUUCCACAAUGGACGAAAGUCUGAUGGAGCGACACAGCGUGCAGGAUGAAGGCCUUCGGGUUGUAAACUGCUGUUAUAAGGGAAGAAAAAGCAGAAGAGGAAAUGCUUUUGCCUUGACGGUACCUUGUCAGAAAGCAACGGCUAACUAUGUGCCAGCAGCCGCGGUAAUACAUAGGUUGCAAGCGUUAUCCGGAAUUAUUGGGCGUAAAGCGUCUGUAGGUUGUGUGUUAAGUCUGACGUAAAAACUUGGAGCUCAACUCCAAAUAGCGUUGGAUACUGGCACGCUAGAAUUGUGUAGAGGUUAGCGGAAUUCCUAGUGAAGCGGUGAAAUGCGUAGAUAUUAGGAAGAACAUCAACAUGGCGAAGGCAGCUAACUGGGCACAUAUUGACACUGAGAGACGAAAGCGUGGGGAGCAAACAGGAUUAGAUACCCUGGUAGUCCACGCCGUAAACGAUGAUGAUUAGCUGAUGGGAACCAUCGGCGCAGCUAACGCAUUAAAUCAUCCGCCUGAGUAGUAUGCACGCAAGUGUGAAACUUAAAGGAAUUGACGGGGAUCCGCACAAGCGGUGGAGCAUGUGGUUUAAUUUGAAGAUACGCGUAGAACCUUACCCACUCUUGACAUCUUCCGCRACGCUAUAGAGAUAUAGUUGAGGUUAACGGAAUGACAGAUGGUGCAUGGUUGUCGUCAGCUCGUGUCGUGAGAUGUUCGGUUAAGUCCUGCAACGAGCGCAACCCUUAUCCUUAGUUAGAUGAUCUAGGGAGACUGCCGGAGUAAUCCGGAGGAAGGUGGGGACGACGUCAAAUCAUCAUGCCU
rnacentral:rRNA from 1 species